rnacentral:misc_RNA from 1 species
UUUCUUAUUAUUAAAUUUCUUUAACAUACAUUGACUUUUUAAGUGUUUAAUAAAUGAGCCGCAAGUUCAAAUCUAGAAACGAAUUUCUUUCUUAUUCCUUGCCGAAAAAAUGCACAGAGUUUGAAAAGUGAGAGGUCACGCCUUGGUUAAACAAGUACGCUAUAUAUUCACUAAUGAUCCUUCCGCAGGUUCACCUACGGAAA